GGCAACUUCUUCAGUGAAACUUGCUUGUAAAAGCUGACCAGGCUUCUGUGGCACCGAGUUCAUGUGUUUAAACCAUUCAUUGAAGGCUUCAUGGGCUUCCUAAAUUGGUUUGGAAAUGUAUAGUCAUUUUCAUGUAGUUAUUCCAAUGACACUCUGCAGUUACGAAGACCAUCCAUAAGCUAUUUGUACAAACAAUGGUCAUCCUUGUGAAGGUGUGUUAAAAAUAGCCAAAAUAUUUCAGCUAACAAUUUGCUAUUUGUGUUUCCAUUUUAAGAAAUGACAACUGUUCUAGUAAUUUUAGAGCUUAUUGUAGAUGAUAUAUUGCAUCUAAAGACUUACCUGAAUGUAAGUUUUCAAAACGUCCACUGAUACUUCCUCCUGAAUGGAAAAAGUUAUUAGGUUUAAUAACAUUACUUAAGAAUGUCAAUUAAAAUUCCAAGUCACUGUUA